CAGCUAUAUCAUGUUGAAACACCUGUUCCCGUAUGAUUACUGAUGGUAAGCAACACUGAUCCCGGUUAGUGCUGAAAUAGGUAACCACUUAGGAAUACCAGGUGCUGUAAG